UGAACGAUGAAGUAACUUGUGAUGUUGCAGAAAUGCGUGAAUGUUAAUGCAACGGUUCAUACUGAGGUCACAUGGUGAAUUGGAUGUGCAUCGGAUUCAGGAUCCCCAAGUGGCCCGAAUCUGGACAAACACCGCUCUGUGACCAUAAAACUACAAGGAGAACAAGCAAAAGGUACAAAAUCACUUCAUUUUUCCUUUUUUCCUUCACAUCAUAUUAAUGCCAAUUGCUUGUUUUGUCAUGAUAACUGUUCAUCUUUUGAUCUUUGAUCAUAAGUAGCACAAUUUCCCAGGAAUGACCUGAAAAUAUCUACGUGAAUACUUUAUUUUCCUGCUUUACUAGUUUCAAAGAGAGACCUACUUUAAUGAUCGUCAGAGGGAGGAGAAACCCAUAUGAGACGGAUUCAAAAAACUCUCAGCAAAUAAAUCAAACUGG
rnacentral:lncRNA from 1 species